rnacentral:sRNA from 1 species
GAUGUUUGGAAUCAUAAAACAAAGGUAACUCCUAAUGAGAAGUGCUUAUGCUUUUGUAUUCCGCACUUUUGUUAGGACAUUUUGUUAUGUUCCGCAUCAUAUUUGUAAUAUCACGUGUUACGUGCAAGAUCUAGGAGGAUUUAAUAAUGCAAAACGGUACAGUAAAAUGGUUUAACGCAGAAAAAGGUUAUGGCUUCAUUCAGGUAGAGGAAGGUAACGACGUAUUCGUACACUUCUCCGCUAUCCAAGAAGAAGGUUUCAAGUCUCUUGAAGAAGGUCAAGAAGUUACUUUCGAAAUCGUAGAAGGCGACCGUGGCCCACAAGCGGCUAACGUUGUUAAACAAUAAAUCAAAUGUCCCAAAAGCAACAGCAUUGAGCUGUUGCUUUUUU